GGGCGGGGCUGGGACCGGGGCAGCGGCCCCCACGUGCCGCAGCCACAGCCGGCCAGCGGGGAGCGAGCGGCGGAAAGUUUCCUGGGAGUUGCGAGGACAUGGAGGUGGGGAACCUGACGGAGACGUUGUACCAAAGCCUGCACUCAUUGCUGAAGGCCCUGAACCAAACACUUCACGGUGCCAUCCUGUGCCCACCAGACCAGGCCACGAGGUGGACGAAUGGCAGUCACAUCAAGCUAGCCAGCAAAGACGACUAUUCCUACAUGUACAUCUUGUUCGUGAUGAUUCUGUUUGCCGCCACGGUGGGGAGUUUGAUUCUGGGGUACACCAAAUCCAGGAAGGUGGACAAGCGGAGUGAUCCCUACCACAUAUACAUUAAGGACAGGGUGUCCAUGAUCUGAGCAGGACAGGGACCCUGCUGCAAGGACAUGCACAGCUACCGGCAUCUGCCUUCUGUAGCAAGAGAAGCCCUUUUCCCUGGUCCAGUCAGACUCUUCUCAGAGGGGCCAACACGCGGCUCCAUCUUGCUAAGAGACAGCCACGUGGACACAUUUAGUGCCGAGGAGCACUAGUAGGCCUGAUCUUGCACACAGGCAGAGAGUGCCAGAUCUUAGAGGCUGCAGAAUAGUUAUGUGACGGCUCUGGACGCUCUCCAGCAGGCCCGUCCUGGAUCACUCUGCGUCAGUUGUGAAGUUCCCACCAACCUUGUCCUCCUCCAAAGGAGCAUUUCUGUUUACGCCAAAGGGCAUGGGGAUAGGCUGAUGGAAGGUCUUAAGUGUAUCCCAGAAUCCUUUGCUCCAAUGCAAAGGAGCAUGGGAUACACGUGAGUGCUGCAAGUUCUUAUUUAUUGUGAUGUUGGACGCCAUAUGAGAUUGUAGCUAAAUGGAUGCGGAGAUUCAGGUGCAUGGUGCACGCAGCUCAACAGUGAGUGGGCACCUGGCUAGGGCAGAGCAUGACACAGUUCGGGGACUGGGUGGGAGCACAAGAGGAGGGCACCUCUUGUCUCCACCUAGAGUCCAGAACGUUGGUGCUAUGACCCAGCAUCAGUGUGUGAAGAUGCCCCUGUCAGCAGAACAGAGAAUGAAUGGCUGGUGGAUGAGCCAAUCGGAUUGUUUAAUUUGUCCCUCCACGUCCUGUCAGCCUCUUGCUAUGCAUGUGCGGGCUGGAGUCUAAUGGGCCUCUGAAUAGGAAGGCCUCCCAAUCUCAGGGCGGCAGCUAGAGAACAAAUCUGUGGGGCUCAUCUUGAGAGGGGCUGAGCGCACGCAGCUCCCACUGAUCUCUGUGCCGAGGGCCAAGAGGGUCUGUAUGCCACAGGGAGUCAAGCUGUGUUCCCUGUACUGGGUAAAUGGUUGUGCAUUUUAAUACAUCCAUGGCCACGUAACGCACACAGUUGUUGGCUACUCAGAACUUCCUGGGGACAGCAGAGAUAUAGUUCAGUUCCUCCUAUUCCAAAAGCACAGGCUUCUACAUUUGUAGCUGAAAGAGACUUUUUAGCAAUAUGGGGCCUAUGAUAUACAGUUGUAGUAGUAGGAUUUUAUGUUUGCAUUUUGUGUAAUUUAAAAUGAAAAAUAAAGAAUAAUAACGUACCAUGUAUGAAAUGUAUUGGUGUACGAUUUGACCGUAACCUGCCAGCCACCCUUUUUGAACAGCAGAAAGGGACGGGCCUAAUGGGCCAUUUGGUAAAGCUGCAUCAGCCGGAAUCUGUGUCUGGGCUGAUUUCAAGGCAGUAACAGACGUUUUAAGGUCACCACUUUGUUGUAGGUUUAGCAUUUUAAAAUAAGUAAAAGAAUGCCGUGAUUGUUUUCAUUUGCAUUGCAACUUGAUGUUCCUGUUCAAAAUGUUCUGUGUAAAUUAAUUCUGUUUUGUGUGUAAAUAAGAAAUGUGUGUGUUAAGAGGUAAGUGUGAAGGCCAUUGCUGAACCAGAUGUUCUAGGAAGGAACUGAAGACAGACGCAGGAGUCCCAGGAGUUUGCAACACGCCCCUAUUGAAAUGUCAGCGGAGGGCAAAUUAACGACUCUAAAAAUGAGACAGGCACCUAUCAAUGGGGACAAAAUAUCUGUGACCAAAACCAGCCUGGGAUAACUCCCUAAAAAAAUUAAUAAAAACAAAAUAAAAAGUAAGAAGGACAAUUUAAGAAAACAAGCACUUGUCAAACAACAAUUGAUGACAGCAUGACGGUGCAAAACUCAUUGGUCCAAUAAAGGAAAAGCACUAUAUAAACAGGGUGCCUAGCCAUGAAACUUUGGGUUUGUCCUGCCAAGGCUUCCCCGGAGCAUCGUGCCGCGACUGACGGAACCUGGCUCCUCCCUAUCCGUGAUCAACCUAGCUGGCCACUGGAUUGAUCUGGACUCUAAACUGUCUCCAACUAUCUGGCAAGUAAGUGGGGGUUACCCUGUGGUUCCUCCCAAGCUGCCCUGGUGACCCUGCCAGGAAGGAGCGAGGAGUGUGGAGGCACUGCCAAAUAAAUUCAUAGGGAAAAAUAAAGAAGAUACACCCAGAUCCAGAAGAACCCAGACCUGUCCAUCAAAACCUGUCAGCAGAUUGGCAUUAAAGAAGUGAGUCCAGGAGGAAUUCCCACCAGAGGAGCUGCUGCUGGGCUAGGGUGUUAAUUUGGACCCUGCCUUCCUUUGCAAUCCCCAAGCCUCUUCAAGCGCAGGCAAUUAGGACUCUAGGAACAGAGGGGGGUUGCUUUGGGUAAGUCUACACUUGUGGCUAUUUCUAUCCUGCUAGCACAGGUAUAAACAGUGUAGAUGGUGAGGCACGGCUUAGGUGAGUAAAGGGACGCUCGAACCCUAUGGAUACACACCUUACAUGCCCAUGCAGGGCCUCCCAUGCCUACACUGCUAUAUUUAGUAGGGUAGCAUCCUGCCCCUUCCCCUCUGCCAGAGCCUUUCCCCACCACAGUGAAAGAUCCCUCUGCCAGAGCCUUUCCCCACUGGAGAGGCAGCGGCAGCUCCCCGAGCCGAGCCUGGCUGCCCUCCCCACCACAGCCGUUCGCCUGUAGCUACCCGUACCCUACAUGCUCACGUUAAGUGUAGACAAGGCCAGCUGCGUAAUAAGGGCCAGAGCAGGAUGGAAGAGGGACAAGGACAGGAUUUAAGCAUAAUGGAAGCUUUUUUUUUUUGUUGUUAGCGGCUGUAUGGAGAUGGCUGCUGUGUUCAUAAAGGGACCCCAGUACCACAGAAAUAGCUCAGGAUCUGGGACAGGGUGUCAUUUUUCCUUGUCCUUCUGCACCUCAAGAUUUUUUUUUAAAGAAGGCUACUAGACAAAUCCUGCAGUUGGGAACCCAGUGUGCAGCGCACACAGCCCAGCUAUACACCAGGGGUUAUUGUAAUCAGCGACUGCCCCAAGCCACAUCAUUCAGCUGGAUUUGGAUCCAGAUCUCAGCGUCCCCAAGUCCACCAGUGCUGGGUUUGGGGUUUCCAGUCUGAGCCCAUCUCUCAUUGCCAUGAUCAUUUCAAAGCCUCAGCCAACACACUCCAGUGUCCUGAGUCACGGACGCUGCAGGGCUAGCUCCUCAGCUGGUGUGAAUCUGCGGAGCUCCGUUGCCUUCCAUAGCGUGAAGCCAAUUUGCGCCAUCCAAGGAGCUGGUUCUUGGAGUCUGGUACUGACUAGUGAAGGAAUAUCUAUAGGCCGCAGCAGACUGACUCAAAACCGAGUUCCAUCCAGUCCAGGACCCCGUCUCUGUCAGCGGCCAGCACCCGAUGGGUCAGAAGAUGUCAAAACCUCACAGUAGCAGCUGUGGAAGAAUACGUCUCCCAGAUCGGCCCCCUACAGAUCUCUACUCUCCCCCAAAGCGGAGUUAAGUUAGCACAGGAAGGUAUCUGUUAUAAAUAGAAUUCAGCCUGAGAAUUAGUCUGAAUCCAAUAUGCUGACAGGCUGAAAAACUUUAAAGGCCCAGCUGGCUUCCAGGGUGACCAGACAGCAAGUGCGAAAAAUUGGGAUGGGGGUGGGGGAAUAAUAGGAGCCUAUAUAAGAAAAAGACCCUUAAAUCGGGACAUCUGCUCACCCCAGCGGGCUCUGUAGUGCUCUGAGCUUUCCUAGCCAGCCAGGUCCUUCCUGAAGCUGUUGCUCAGAAAGAAGGGGUCUCCUCAGAAUCGCCCUGGGCUGUAUGGUGACUGGGGUGGGAGACUCAGAGGGGAUGGAAGCCAGAGUACAGAGUGACUGUAGGAGAACUACACUGCAAACUCGACUGUCCCAGACAACCGACAGGCUGCUUUAAUGGUUAACAUGGGCCUGCCUCCCGCUUUUUUUGUGCACGUGUGUGUGUGGUGGCGGCGGCAAAGAGAGCUUGUCCCUAGCUUUACGGAGCUUUCAUCUCCUUGUUUCAUUAUGUGAUUCACACCCUUACUGCUGCGUAAUAUAGGUGAAGGAGGCAUGGCCCAGUCUAGUGCAUCAGCUCAGUCUAGUAGAAAUAGCCCGUUUCAAUCAUGAAGAGAGAGGUUGCUGUGCUCUGGGUUUAUCCUGCCUGACCUGCCAGCCUGGGGCUGGCCAAUCACAGUACUGUUAUGUAAUAAGGGUCCCCUGAGGAAUGCAUAGUUGUUGGAUCAUAUUGAAGAAGUUCUGUAUUAAAUCACAAAUGAGUGAUUCCCCAUAAUUAGUAAUACCCUGGAAUUUAAACUAAGAGGGAGGUCUCUUGGUUUUUGGCUGCUAAUUGCGUUAGUACAUCCUAAGACAGAGUCUGUUCUCAAAGCAAUACUUUGUAACAACAGAAACAGCACACAGACUCCCCGCCCUUUUGUUGUAUUUCUCUCUUUGUUAACAAUUGUGAUUAAAAUAGAGAUGGAGGAUGUAUGUGGAUGGAUGCUUGGUGUGGAUAAUAAAGGAACGAUCAUGGAGGUGCCAGCCUAAGAAUCCAGUGUCCAUCAGCCGAAGAAGGUGUCAAGUGGAAACAACCAGAGGCCCCCCCAGAGGGCAGACUGGAAUCCACCCAACAGCCUCAAGGAUGGGAGAACCGAAGAACAAGAUAACAUCUGGCAGCACGGAGCUGUCAGGAAUGUGCCUUCUGCUGACUGAAUCAGCAACAGCAUGGUGAAGCAAUUCCCAUAGACUGGCAUAGGAAUAAAUUCCUAUAAAAAUGGACUCUAGAACUGAGAACUUUGGGGUCUGCAAUCCAACUUCCAGGAGCAUCAGAUGUGCAUCUGAGAAAGCCCUGCUCCCUCCUCUUGUCCAGGCCACCUGUCCAGUGGCUUGGCACGAGCAACUCUAAGGCUGGUAACUAUGAUAACAACCUUGCAGAACCUGUGUGUGUGUGUGAAUAUAUAUGAAUGAAUGUGUGAAUAAAUAUGACAUUGAAUGGAAUGUUAUAGCUAUAACUAACUGCUUACUAUGAUUCUUCUGUAGUCACAAUAAAUGUGGCAUUUUGCC